AGCAAAUGCAGUUACAGGGCCUGUCUGAUGGAUACCCUUGUGCUGACAGACACGGGUGUUCUUGUGCAGGACAAUGCGUGGGGGAAAGGCAGGAGAAGACAUCUGGCCAAGUCACAGGACAUCUGGAAUGACAGCACAAUCUUCCCAAAGCCAAGCCUCAUUGCUGCCAUAUUUCACCUCUCUUUUGAAUGUUACUGUUGUCUCAUCAUCACCCUCUGCAAGCUGGUGAAAUUCCCUCCUUGUCCCUACCACAGCUGUUGCCAUUGUAUUCUUGUCCACCUCAGUGAGAUGUCCCAGAAGAAAAGAAUGAAAUAGUAAUUACUUACAACUGUGGAGAAAAGAAGAAAGGAAGAAACAGGAACUCUGCUCUGUUGGGGAAAACAAAGUUACUUGGUGUAGCUGAAGAUCUGAAG